rnacentral:ncRNA from 3 species
UCCCUGAGACCAUAACUUGUGA